UNGAAAAGUGACUACAAGUAUUCCAUCUUC
rnacentral:piRNA from 1 species